GACGAACGCUUUCGGCGUGCUUAACACAUGCAAGUCGAACGGAAAGGCCCUGCUUUUGUGGGGUGCUCGAGUGGCGAACGGGUGAGUAACACGUGAGUAACCUGCCCUUGACUUUGGGAUAACUUCAGGAAACUGGGGCUAAUACCGGAUAGGAGCUCCUGCUGCAUGGUGGGGGUUGGAAAGUUUCGGCGGUUGGGGAUGGACUCGCGGCUUAUCAGCUUGUUGGUGGGGUAGUGGCUUACCAAGGCUUUGACGGGUAGCCGGCCUGAGAGGGUGACCGGCCACAUUGGGACUGAGAUACGGCCCAGACUCCUACGGGAGGCAGCAGUGGGGAAUAUUGCACAAUGGGCGGAAGCCUGGUGCAGCAACGUCGCGUGCGGGAUGACGGCCUUCGGGUUGUAAACCGCUUUCGCCUGUGACGAAGCGUGAGUGACGGUAAUGGGUAAAGAAGCACCGGCUAACUACGUGCCAGCAGCCGCGGUGAUACGUAGGGUGCGAGCGUUGUCCGGAUUUAUUGGGCGUAAAGGGCUCGUAGGUGGUUGAUCGCGUCGGAAGUGUAAUCUUGGGGCUUAACCCUGAGCGUGCUUUCGAUACGGGUUGACUUGAGGAAGGUAGGGGAGAAUGGAAUUCCUGGUGGAGCGGUGGAAUGCGCAGAUAUCAGGAGGAACACCAGUGGCGAAGGCGGUUCUCUGGGCCUUUCCUGACGCUGAGGAGCGAAAGCGUGGGGAGCGAACAGGCUUAGAUACCCUGGUAGUCCACGCUGUAAACGGUGGGUACUAGGUGUGGGGUCCAUUCCACGGGUUCCGUGCCGUAGCUAACGCUUUAAGUACCCCGCCUGGGGAGUACGGCCGCAAGGCUAAAACUCAAAGGAAUUGACGGGGCCCCGCACAAGCGGCGGAGCAUGCGGAUUAAUUCGAUGCAACGCGUAGAACCUUACCUGGGUUUGACAUGGAUCGGGAGUGCUCAGAGAUGGGUGUGCCUCUUUUGGGGUCGGUUCACAGGUGGUGCAUGGCUGUCGUCAGCUCGUGUCGUGAGAUGUUGGGUUAAGUCCCGCAACGAGCGCAACCCUUGUUCACUGUUGCCAGCACGUUAUGGUGGGGACUCAGUGGAGACCGCCGGGGUCAACUCGGAGGAAGGUGGGGAUGACGUCAAGUCAUCAUGCCCCUUAUGUCCAGGGCUUCACGCAUGCUACAAUGGCUGGUACAGAGAGUGGCGAGCCUGUGAGGGUGAGCGAAUCUCGGAAAGCCGGUCUCAGUUCGGAUUGGGGUCUGCAACUCGACCUCAUGAAGUCGGAGUCGCUAGUAAUCGCAGAUCAGCAACGCUGCGGUGAAUACGUUCCCGGG
rnacentral:rRNA from 1 species